GAUGAACGCUGGCGGCGUGCCUAAUACAUGCAAGUCGAGCGAACAGACGAGGAGCUUGCUCCUCUGACGUUAGCGGCGGACGGGUGAGUAACACGUGGAUAACCUACCUAUAAGACUGGGAUAACUUCGGGAAACCGGAGCUAAUACCGGAUAAUAUAUUGAACCGCAUGGUUCAAUAGUGAAAGACGGUUUUGCUGUCACUUAUAGAUGGAUCCGCGCCGCAUUAGCUAGUUGGUAAGGUAACGGCUUACCAAGGCAACGAUGCGUAGCCGACCUGAGAGGGUGAUCGGCCACACUGGAACUGAGACACGGUCCAGACUCCUACGGGAGGCAGCAGUAGGGAAUCUUCCGCAAUGGGCGAAAGCAUGACGGAGCAACGCCGCGUGAGUGAUGAAGGUCUUCUGAUCGUAAAACUCUGUUAUUAGGGAAGAACAAAUGUGUAAGUAACUAUGCACGUCUUGACGGUACCUAAUCAGAAAGCCACGGCUAACUACGUG
rnacentral:rRNA from 1 species